rnacentral:rRNA from 1 species
AGGACGAACGCUGGCGGCGUGCUUAACACAUGCAAGUCGAGCGGUAAGGCCCUUCGGGGUACACGAGCGGCGAACGGGUGAGUAACACGUGGGUGAUCUGCCCUGCACUCUGGGAUAAGCCUGGGAAACUGGGUCUAAUACUGGAUAUGACCUGUCCUCGCAUGGGGGGUGGGUGGAAAGAUUUAUCGGUGCAGGAUGGGCCCGCGGCCUAUCAGCUUGUCGGUGGGGUAAUGGCCCACCAAGGCGACGACGGGUAGCCGACCUGAGAGGGUGACCGGCCACACUGGGACUGAGACACGGCCCAGACUCCUACGGGAGGCAGCAGUGGGAAUAUUGCACAAUGGGCGAAAGCCUGAUGCAGCGACGCCGCGUGAGGAUGAAGGCCUUCGGGUUGUAAACCUCUUUCAGCAGGACGAAGCGAGAGUGACGGUACCUGCAGAAGAAGCACCGGCUAACUACGUGUCAGCAGCCGAC